GACGAACGCUGGCGGCGUGCUUAACACAUGCAAGUCGAACGAAGUGGCGAACGGGUGAGUAACGCGUAAUCAACCUGCCCUUCAGAGGGGGACAACAGUUGGAAACGACUGUUAAUACCGCAUACUGCAGGAGGGGUUUGCGUCUGAUUAGCUAGUUGGAGGGGUAACGGCCCACCAAGGCGAUGAUCAGUAGCCGGUCUGAGGGGAGGAACGGCCACAUUGGGACUGAGGAACGGCCCAGACUGCUACGGGAGGCAGCAAUGGGGAUUCUUCCGCAAUGGGCGAAAGUCUGACGGAGCAACGCGGAGUGAGUGAUGAGGGCCUUCGGGUGGUAAAGCUCUGUUAAUCGGGACGCGGUACCUGAAUAGAAAGCCACGGCUAACUACGUGCCAGCAGCCGCGGUAAUUC
rnacentral:rRNA from 1 species